rnacentral:rRNA from 1 species
GUAUAGAACCUACCUUUUACAGAGGAAUAGCCUUUAGAAAUGAAGAUUAAUGCCUCAUGGUAUUGUAGACUGGCAUCAGUUUAUAAUUAAAGAUUUAUCGGUAAAAGAUGGCUAUGCGUCCUAUUAGUUAGUUGGUAAGGUAACGGCUUACCAAGACAGCGAUAGGUAGGGGUCCUGAGAGGGAGAUCCCCCACACUGGUACUGAGACACGGACCAGACUCCUACGGGAGGCAGCAGUGAGGAAUAUUGGACAAUGGAGGAGACUCUGAUCCAGCCAUGCCGCGUGUAGGAAGAAUGCCCUAUGGGUUGUAAACUACUUUUAUACAGGAAGAAACACUGGUAUGUAUACCAGCUUGACGGUAC